rnacentral:rRNA from 1 species
AGAGUUUGAUCAUGGCUCAGGAUGAACGCUAGCGACAGGUCUAACACAUGCAAGUCGAGGGGCAGCAUUUCUAGCUUGCUAGAAGAUGGCGACCGGCGCACGGGUGAGUAACGCGUAUGCAACCUACCUUACAUUGGGGGAUAGCCCAGAGAAAUCUGGAUUAAUACCGCAUAAUAUAUUUGAAUCGCAUGGUUUAAUAUUAAAACUCCGGUGAUGUAAGAUGGGCAUGCGUAGCAUUAGUUAGUUGGUGAGGUAACGGCUCACCAAGACAAUGAUGCUUAGGGGGUCUGAGAGGAUAGUCCCCCACACUGGUACUGAGACACGGACCAGACUCCUACGGGAGGCAGCAGUGAGGAAUAUUGGUCAAUGGGCGCAAGCCUGAACCAGCCAUGUCGCGUGCAGGAUGACGGCCCUAUGGGUUGUAAACUGCUUUUUUACAGGAAUAAUUGCUUCUACGUGUAGAAGUUUGAAUGUACUGUAUGAAUAAGGAUCGGCUAACUCCGUGCCAGCAGCCGCGGUAAUACGGAGGAUUCGAGCGUUAUCCGGAUUUAUUGGGUUUAAAGGGUCCGUAGGCGGUCUUUUAAGUCAGUGGUGAAAUCCCAGAGCUCAACUCUGGAACUGCCAUUGAAACUGAAAGACUUGAAUAUGGUUGAGGUAGGCGGAAUACGUUAUGUAGCGGUGAAAUGCAUAGAUAUAACGUAGAACACCAAUUGCGAAGGCAGCUUACUAAACCAUUAUUGACGCUGAUGGACGAAAGCGUGGGGAGCGAACAGGAUUAGAUACCCUGGUAGUCCACGCCGUAAACGAUGAUUACUCGUUGUGCACAAUACACCGUGCGUGACUUAGCGAAAGCAUUAAGUAAUCCACCUGGGGAGUACGUUCGCAAGAAUGAAACUCAAAGGAAUUGACGGGGGCCCGCACAAGCGGAGGAACAUGUGGUUUAAUUCGAUGAUACGCGAGGAACCUUACCUGGACUUAAAUGUAGAUUGACCGGUUUAGAAAUAGAUCUUUCCUUCGGGACAAUUUACAAGGUGCUGCAUGGUUGUCGUCAGCUCGUGCCGUGAGGUGUCGGGUUAAGUCCCAUAACGAGCGCAACCCCUAUCGUUAGUUGCUAGCAGGUAAUGCUGAGGACUCUAGCGAGACUGCCACCGUAAGGUGAGAGGAAGGUGGGGAUGACGUCAAAUCAGCACGGCCCUUACGUCCAGGGCUACACACGUGUUACAAUGGCCAGUACAAAGGGCAGCUACCAGGUGACUGGAUGCUAAUCUCAAAAGCUGGUCUCAGUUCGGAUCGGAGUCUGCAACUCGACUCCGUGAAGUUGGAUUCGCUAGUAAUCGUAUAUCAGCAAUGAUACGGUGAAUACGUUCCCGGGCCUUGUACACACCGCCCGUCAAGCCAUGGAAGCCGAGGGUGCCUGAAGUACGUUACCGCAAGGAGCGUCCUAGGGUAAAAUUGGUAACUGGGGCUAAGUCGUAACAAGGUA